rnacentral:rRNA from 1 species
GGAGGGUGCAAGCGUUAUCCGGAUUCACUGGGUUUAAAGGGUGUGUAGGCGGAUAUUUAAGUCAGUGGUGAAAUCUCCGGGCUCAACCCGGAAACUGCCAUUGAUACUAUUUAUCUUGAAUUCUGUUGAGGUGGGCGGAAUACAUCAUGUAGCGGUGAAAUGCUUAGAUAUGAUGUAGAACACCGAUUGCGAAGGCAGCUCACUAAGCAGCGAUUGACGCUGAGGCACGAAAGCGUGGGGAUCAAACAGGAUUAGAUACCCUGGUAGUCCACGCCCUAAACGAUGAUUACUCGACAUACGCGAUAUACAGUGUGUGUCUGAGCGAAAGCAUUAAGUAAUCCACCUGGGAAGUACGAUCGCAAGAUUG